rnacentral:rRNA from 1 species
AUUGAACGCUGGCGGCAGGCCUAACACAUGCAAGUCGAACGGUAACGCGGGGCAACCUGGCGACGAGUGGCGAACGGGUGAGUAAUGCAUCGGAACGUGCCCAGUAGUGGGGGAUAGCCCGGCGAAAGCCGGAUUAAUACCGCAUACGACCUACGGGUGAAAGCGGGGGACCGUAAGGCCUCGCGCUAUUGGAGCGGCCGAUGUCAGAUUAGGUUGUUGGUGGGGUAAAAGCCUACCAAGCCGACGAUCUGUAGCUGGUCUGAGAGGACGACCAGCCACACUGGGACUGAGACACGGCCCAGACUCCUACGGGAGGCAGCAGUGGGGAAUUUUGGACAAUGGGGGCAACCCUGAUCCAGCCAUGCCGCGUGCGGGAAGAAGGCCUUCGGGUUGUAAACCGCUUUUGUCAGGGAAGAAACGCGCUGAGCUAAUAUCUCGGCGUAAUGACGGUACCUGAAGAAUAAGCACCGGCUAACUACGUGCCAGCCGCCGCGUAAUAC